GGGGUUGUAGCUCAGUGGUAGAGUGCCUGCCUAGCAUGUGUGAGGCACUGGGUUUGAUUCUCAUUACCUCA
rnacentral:tRNA from 1 species